rnacentral:rRNA from 1 species
CCGGAUUCAUUGUGUUUAAAGGGUGCGUAGGCGGUUUUUUAAGUCAGUGGUGAAAUCGUGCGGCUCAACCGGUAGAACAGCCAUUGAUACUGAAGGACUUGAAUAUAAUUGAGGUAAGCGGAAUGAGUAGUGUAGCGGUGAAAUGCUUAGAUAUUACUCAGAACACCAAUUGCGAAGGCAGCUUACCAAGCUAUAAUUGACGCUGAGGCACGAAAGCGUGGGGAUCGAACAGGAUUAGAUACCCUGGUAGUCCACGCCGUAAACGAUGUUCACUCGCUGUUUGCGAUAUACAGUAAGCGGCCAAGCGAAAGCAUUAAGUGAACCACCUGGGGAGUACGUCGGCAACGGUGAAACUCAAAGGAAUUGACGGGCGCCCGCACAAGCGGAGGAACAUGUGGUUUAAUUCGAUGAUACGCGAGGAACCUUACCUGGGCUUAAAUGUAGAUUGCAUGAGGUGGAAACACCCUUCCCUUCGGGGCCAUCUACAAGGUGCUGCAUGGUUGUCGUCAGCUCGUGCCGUGAGGUGUCGGGUUAAGUCCCAUAACGAGCGCAACCCCUACCGUUAGUUGCCAUCAGGUGAAGCUGGGGACUCUAGCGGGACUGCCACCGUAAGGUGAGAGGAAGGUGGGGAUGACGUCAAAUCAGCACGGCCCUUAUGUCCAGGGCUACACACGUGUUACAAUGGCAGGUACAAAGGGCAGCUACACUGCGAGGUGAUGCUAAUCUCUAAAGCCUGUCCCAGUUCGGAUUGGAGUCUGCAACCCGACUCCAUGAAGUUGGAUUCGCUAGUAAUCGCGCAUCAGC